rnacentral:lncRNA from 1 species
AGGAGAAGAAAAGAAGAAGAAGAAGAAGAAGUGGUGGAGAAGAAAAGAAAUAGCAGCAAGAAAAAGAGGAGAAAGUCGAGGAAGAAGAGGAGAAGAAGAAGACGAAAAAGGAAAUGAAGGAAUUAGAAGAAGAAGAAGAGGAGGAGAAGAAAAGAAGAAGAAGAAGAAUAAGAAUAAGAAGAAGAAGAAGAAGAAUAAAAAGA